rnacentral:rRNA from 1 species
GCACAAAUGGACGCAAGUCUGAUGCAGCGACGCCGCGUGGGGGGAUGAAGGCUUUCGGGGUUGUAAACUCCUUUCAGUACAGAAGAAGCAUUUUUUGUGACGGUAUGUGCAGAAGAAGCGCCGGCUAACUACGUGCCAGCAGCCGCGGUAAUACGUAGGGCGCGAGCGUUGUCCGGAAUUAUUGGGCGUAAAGAGCUCGUAGGCGGUUUGUUGCGCCUGCUGUGAAAGACCGGGGCUUAACUUCGGGGUUGCAGUGGGUACGGGCAGACUAGAGUGUGGUAGGGGUAAUUGGAAUUCCUGGUGUAGCGGUGGAAUGCGCAGAUAUCAGGAGGAACACCGAUGGCGAAGGCAGGUUACUGGGCCAUUACUGACGCUGAGGAGCGAAAGCGUGGGUAGCGAACAGGAUUAGAUACCCUGGUAGUCCACGCCGUAAACGUUGGGCACUAGGUGUGGGGCCUUUUCCACGGGUUCUGCGCCGUAGCUAACGCUUUAAGUGCCCCGCCUGGGGAGUACGGCCGCAAGGUUAAAACUCAAAGGAAUUGACGGGGGCCCGCACAAGCGGCGGAGCAUGCGGAUUAAUUCGAUGCAACGCGAAGAACCUUACCAAGGCUUGACAUACACUGCGAUGUGCCAGAGAUGGUGCAGCCUUCGGGGUGGUGUACAGGUGGUGCAUGGUUGUCGUCAGCUCGUGUCGUGAGAUGUUGGGUUAAGUCCCGCAACGAGCGCAACCCUUGUCCUGUGUUGCCAGCAUGUUGUGGUGGGGACUCACGGGAGACUGCCGGGGUUAACCUCGGAGGAAG